GAUGAACGCUGGCGGCGUGCUUAACACAUGCAAGUCGAACGGAAAGGCCCAAGCUUGCUUGGGUACUCGAGUGGCGAACGGGUGAGUAACACGUGGGUGAUCUGCCCUGCACUUCGGGAUAAGCCUGGGAAACUGGGUCUAAUACCGGAUAGGACCACUUCUUGGAUGUUGUGGUGGAAAGUUUUUUCGGUGUGGGAUGAGCUCGCGGCCUAUCAGCUUGUUGGUGAGGUAAUGGCCUACCAAGGCGUCGACGGGUAGCCGGCCUGAGAGGGUGUACGGCCACAUUGGGACUGAGAGACGGCCCAGACUCCUACGGGAGGCAGCAGUGGGGAAGAUUGCACAAUGGGCGCAAGCCUGAUGCAGCGACGCCGCGUGGGGGAUGACGGCCUUCGGGUUGUAAACUCCUUUCGCUAGGGACGAAGCGUUUUGUGACGGUACCUGGAGAAGAAGCACCGGCUAACUACGUG
rnacentral:rRNA from 1 species